GAUGAACGCUGGCGGCGUGCCUAACACAUGCAAGUCGAGCGAGAAGUUUGAAAAAUGAGUUUUCGAACAAGUGAUUCAAACGGAAAGCGGCGGACGGGUGAGUAACGCGUAGGCAACCUGCCCCGUGCAGAGGGACAGCCUCGGGAAACCGGGAUUAAGACCUCAUGAUAUCGGGUUAUCACAUGGUAAUCCGGUCAAAGAUUUAUCGGCAUGGGAUGGGCCUGCGUCUGAUUAGCUGGUUGGUGGGGUAACGGCCUACCAAGGCGACGAUCAGUAGCAGAACGGAGAGGGUCAGCUGCCACAUUGGAACUGAGACACGGUCCAAACUGCGACGGGAGGCAGCAGUGAGGAAUAGUGCACAAUGGUCGAAAGCCUGAUUGAGCUACGCCGCGUGAGCGAAGAAGGCAGUCGGGUCGUAAAGCUCUGUCCUUGGGGAAGAAACAAAUGACGGUACCCUUGGAGGAAGCCCCGGCGAACUACGUGCCAGCAGCCGCGGUAA
rnacentral:rRNA from 1 species